CGAGUAUACUCGCCAUCUCUUGCUUUCUGCGACGCAUUUUUAACUACACAGUUUUCAAAGAGGUUGCAACAGCUGACUGAUUAAUUAUCCGUUUCCAUAUAAUUUUGUACAAGCGUAUACAGAUACCGGUACAAUUCUCACUAUUCGCUUAUCGGACGAAUAAUUUUCCACGUGACGAUAAACUUUCUAACCUGGCAAUUAACAAAGUCAAUAAAUAUUGCAAUUGCAGAACGAGGUUUGUAAAUAUAUUGGAAAUCACGUUUAGUAUCAUGUUUCUCCACGAUGUAACACGACACCGCAUCAAGUACGAAAAACGCGAAUUGGCGCUUCCAAUCUCCAGAGUGUCAAACUGCAUAGCAACUUUUCUGGCUGACGACAAAAGGCCUGGCGCUCUCUGCUGUCCGCAUGCGAGGAUCGCGUGCACGGGGCGAUGACUCGGGGACACGGGGUCACGGUGACCCUUGGCGUGGCACGUGAAAAGCGAUAAGAGUUCUGCCUAGACUUUAGACUGUAGCAGGAUGUGGCCAGGCUGAUGAACCCUCUGCCUCUGGCAACACGACUGGCAAUAAGUCAACAAGCUCAGCACUUAAGAACUUCCCAGCGAGAUGAUCCAGAUUGCCGAUGAUCGAUGCAUAUACGUAUCAUCCAAUAAAGAUGGCACGCAAAAUUGCAAACUUCAUUCAUGACCGUAAUUGACCUGAUCAUAAUUCUUGAUCUUCAUUGAAUUAUUUACACGUACACGUUGUUACACUGGUAUAUUGCAAGAAAUAUAAUAAUUGAAAGGAAGAAGAAUCUCAUUGAAAAUAUGUCGUACGUAUCGUACAAAUCACGACAUUUUUCCUCUUGAAACUUUUUUCAUUCUUAUUACUGAAUUUCAUUACCAACUGAUUUCCCU